ensembl:snoRNA
CUGGAUGUGAUGCAUAUUAACAUCUGACUGACAAUGAAGGUGUUUGUAUUCAUACUGUCUGAUCCAG